GGAAAGCAGAAGUUGCUGUUAUAAUUAAUUUCCUAUCUGAGGGGAAAAAAAAGUAUUGCUAACCACUUUUGGAAAGAAUCUCAGUUGCAGGCUUGUACUGAUCACCUGGAAGAGCAUGCAAUAAUUUCAUGAAAUCAUACUGGAAGAGGAAAAGGACAAUUUCUCAGGGUUUAUGUCUUUCCCAGGCACUGAUCCUCCAGAAGGAGGGAGACAAGAACACGAGUAAAG
rnacentral:lncRNA from 1 species